UGCCUUAUGGUGUAAUGGUAGCACUACAGAUUCUGGUUCUGUCUGUGAGGGUUCGAAUCCUUCUAAGGCAA
rnacentral:tRNA from 1 species